rnacentral:lncRNA from 1 species
UCUGUGGAGCACCCUAGGGUGUCCCAGAGCACCCCACUGGGACUGUGGAGCACCCUAAAGCCUCCCUGGAGCACCCAGCUGGGACCCAGGAGCACCCCAGGGUGUCCCCAGAGCCCCCCAGAGCAUCCCCAGAGCCCCCCAAAGCAUCCCAGGAGCCCCCCCGAGCAUCCCCCGGCCCCCCCGCCCCCCCGGUUCUGCCCCCCCCCCCCGUCCCCUCUCAGAGCUGCAGUACAACGUGUCCCUGGAGGAGCGGGGUGGGGGGGCCCGCGCCGCCUUCGACUCGGGCGCCCGGCGGCUGCUGCAGCGGCGCACGGAGCUGGAGCUGGGCAGGCAGAGCUGCCUCCGCUUCCCCUUCCACGUCCUGGUGAGCACAGCAUCCCCCCCCCCCCUCCCUUAUCCUCCCCCCCCCCCCCCCCCCCCCCCCGGGGGGGGCCCUCCGCGCCCCCCCCCCUUGCUCCUAGCCCCCUGUCCCCUUGCAGAUCCCCUUCUUCAAGGACUGCGGCGAGGACGAUGAGUGCGUCGCCGACCUGGUGCUGCGCGCCACCAUGGACAUCGCCGGGGAUGGGCAGAGCCCCCACGUCCUGCGCAAGGGCAGGAGGAAGGCGGUGCUGGACGCGGUGCUGGAGAACAAGGGCGAGAACGCCUACAACGCCAGCCUGCUCCUGAGCUUCUCCAGCAACCUGCUCUUCUCCAGCCUCGUGCUCCAGGUGAGGCCCCCCCCCCCCCAGCACCCCCCCCCGGGUAAAAAUCUGGGGGUGCUCAGCCCCCUUGGGGACCACCCUCUGCCUCCCAAGCCCCCCCCGGGGUGGCCGCGGGGACCCACUUCACCCUGUUUG